UACGUAGGGGGCAAGCGUUAUCCGGAUUUACUGGGUGUAAAGGGAGCGUAGACGGCAGAGCAAGUCUGAAGUGAAAGCCCGCGGCCCAACUGCGGGACUGCUUUGGAAACUGCCCGGCUAGAGUGCUGGAGAGGUAAGCGGAAUUCCUAGUGUAGCGGUGAAAUGCGUAGAUAUUAGGAGGAACACCAGUGGCGAAGGCGGCUUACUGGACAGUAACUGACGUUGUGGCUCGAAAGCGUGGGGAGCAAACAGG
rnacentral:rRNA from 1 species